GAUGAAGAACGCAGCGAAAUGCGAUAAGUAAUGUGAAUUGCAGAAUUCCGUGAAUCAUCGAGUCUUUGAACGCACAUUGCGCCCCCUGGUAUUCCGGGGGGCAUGCCUGUCCGAGCGUCAUUGCUGCCCUCAAGCACGGCUUGUGUGUUGGGCCCCCGUCCCCGGUUUCCCCCGGGGACGGGCCCGAAAGGCAGCGGCGGCACCGCGUCCGGUCCUCGAGCGUAUGGGGCUUUGUCACCCGCUCUGUAGGCCCGGCCGGCGCCAGCCGACACCCAACUUUAUUUCUAAGGUUGACCUCGGAUCAGGUAGGGAUACCCGCUGAACUUAAGCAUAUCAAUAAGCGGAGGA
rnacentral:misc_RNA from 1 species